GACGGAUGUUGCUCUGGUGCACGUUAUAUGAAUAGUCGUGACUAGAGUGACACUCGUCGA
rnacentral:pre_miRNA from 1 species